GAUGAACGCUGGCGGCGUGCCUAAUACAUGCAAGUCGAGCGAACAGAUAAGGAGCUUGCUCCUUUGACGUUAGCGGCGGACGGGUGAGUAACACGUGGGUAACUUACCUAUAAGACUGGGAUAACUUCGGGAAACCGGAGCUAACACCGGAUAACAUUUGGAACCGCAUGGUUCUACAGUGAAAGAUGGUUUUGCUAUCACUUAUUGAUGGUCCCGCGCCGUAUUAGCUAGUUGGCAAGGUAACGGCUUACCAAGGCAACGAUACGUAGCCGACCUGAGAGGGUGAUCAGCCACACUGGAACUGAGACACGGUCCAGACUCCUACGGGAGGCAGCAGUAGGGAAUCUUCGACAAUGGGCGAAAGCCUGACGGAGCCACGCCGCGUGAGUGAUGAAGGGUUUCGGCUCGUAAAGCUCUGUUAGUAGGGAAGAACAGAUGUGUAAGUAACUGUGCACGUCUUGACGGUACCUAAUCAGAAAGCCACGGCUAACUACGUG
rnacentral:rRNA from 1 species